GUUUCCGAUGGUGUUAUCUCAUUUUACCAUUCUAAUUGUGAUUAUAGAUGAUUGAUAUUUUCAGUUGAAUUACUAAGGAAACC